rnacentral:tRNA from 2 species
GGGGAUGUAGCUCAGCUGGGAGAGCGUCGCGUUCGCAAUGCGAAGGUCGAGAGUUCGAUCCUCUUCAUCUCCACCA